rnacentral:rRNA from 1 species
AAAUUGAAGAGUUUGAUCAUGGCUCAGAUUGAACGCUGGCGGCAGGCCUAACACAUGCAAGUCGAACGGUAGCACAGAGAG